rnacentral:lncRNA from 1 species
AUUUUUGUAUUUCUUGUGGAGAUGGGGUCUCACUAUGUUGCUCAGGCUGGUCUCAAACUCCUGGGCUCAAUUGACUUUCCGGCCUCAGCCUUGCAUAGCAUUGGGAUUACAGGUGUGAGCCACUGUGCCCAGUCUUGAUUCCUAAUUAUUAGGACUUUGGUUGUACUCAGUGGGCUCUGAAAUGUCAACAGGGGUCUUGGGUGAGUUUGAAUUUCAAGGAACCUCAAAAUUGAUUAUUUACCUCCUAAGGGAUUCUCUGGUCUUAGGAGGCUGGCCAGACCUGGAGUGAACCCUGUAGGUUGACCAUGGACUGGAACAGACCACCUAGUCUCUCUCUAGGUUAUAUGCCUGAUUCUAAGGGGGCCUCUAGGCUACACAGGUUUCUGAAGGGUCUAUGUCCCCUCCUGUUAUCAUGUGGAAAGGGCCAGGUGUGCCAUCUAAGCUUAAGUCGUUAGGGAAUUCUCUCUCCCUCAAAAACAUUUUAAAUAAUCUCCCUGAGUCUUCCUUUAAUUGGCCUUCUAAAUCUUUAAUAAGCCUGGAUUAAAACCACCCUCCAUUAGGAUGAUCAAUCUGAAAACAAAUUAGAUCAAUUCCACAAGUCCAAGCCCCUUCGUAUAGCACAUGAGAGAUGCCGAGCCCUAUAGCUUACGUUCUGAUAAUACAAACCUCCUUGUGUUCCCUGAAUAUGUCAUGCUGUUUCAUAACUCUGCAUUUGCUUAGGCUGAGCUCUGACUGGAGCUCCCUCCUGCUCUGUCUUGGCCCAGCUCACUCAGUUAUCUUUCAAGAUGUCUCUGGGAAGUGUUCUCUGAACUUUCAGCUGGGAUUAUAUGUCUCCCCGCUUUUUGGGACCUCCCCCCGCCGGCCACAGGAUAUAGUUCCAUCUUAGCCUUUGCCAUGUUAUAGUAUAUUGAGCCUGGUGGUGGGUGAUUGUCUCUGCCGGUAAGCUGUAAGCACAUCCUGUGUACCAUCCAGCACAGAGCAUGGAGUCUGACACCCAGUAGUCAGUCUAUAAUACCAAAAUAUUGGAAAGCAGAGAAGGUGCCUUCAUGCUGCAGGGACAAGCCACAUGAACACUUUUAAAAAAAGGAAACAGAGUCUGGACACCUCAAACUCAGGAAGGAGUUAUAGUGUGGGUAAAGAGGCCUAGGCAACAUUAUUUGUCCCUGGUUUGGACAUGCCCUUUGUCUUGAAGCCCGUUAACUGUGUUUUGUAUUUACUGACAGUUCAAGUUUUUCUCUUUUUUUUUUUCAUACUUUGGAAGGGCAGAGACAUCUGAUCUAAUACCAUCUGUGACCAAGGGAGGGAAGGUGGGAGGAAGGAAGAGAAUAUCCAUUUAUUCACUUAAUAUUUCUGGAGCAUCUGCUAGGUGCUGAGGAUUCAGCAAGGACAAAACAAAUGAAUUCCUGCCUUUGCAGCUUCCUCUCCAGUGUGUGGGGGAAUAGAAAAUGAAUAACAAUAGACAGUUCCUUAGGUAGUGAUAAGUGCUAUGGAGAAUGUAAAGCAGAGAAAAAUGAUACAGGUGUUGAGGGUGGGGAGCAAGGAGCUGCAGAUUUUGAAUGGGGUGGUCUCUGAGGUGGAUGCCACAGGAAGGCAUGCUCCGGGAGAUGGCCUGGGAGGGCAGGGGAGCAGCAGGAAGGGUGGUCAGGAAGGUGAAUGAGCAGGCAAGGGGAGUUUGCAGAUGGUGCAGGCCCUGUAGGCCAGGGCAAGGGCUCAGCUUUUACUUCCAUGGGAUAGAAGCUACUGGAAGGUUUUGAUAAAAGCAGUUCAGUGCUCUGACUUACCAUAUGUCCAGCACUGUGCUAGGUAUUCACACAAAUGACCUUAUUUAAUUUUGUAAAGUACCCUGCAAGAUACAUGGUUUUAUCAUCAUUUUGCAAGUGAGGACUUAACACAGACCUUCUCCAAGAUCAAAUAUGUAGAAACAUGGGGAGCCAGGAAGACUUAACCUCUGUAAGGCCUAGCUUUGACCUCUGUAAAAUAGGAAUGAUGCCUAUAAACCCUAUGCAAUUCUGAAAAUCAAAUGAUAAUGUAAAUAAAGAGAGUAGCAAAGUACUUGAGGAACUCAAUAAACGUCAGUUUCCUUCUUUGUUCCAAGGCCACACACACAAUAGCAAAGUGAACACUGGUUAGAAGAUCUGCUCCAUCUUCAGUGAACUCAGAGUAGGCACAUCCAUUGCACUUAAUAGAUUUUUGUUUCUUCCCUCCUUUCCCCUCCUCCUGUCUCUGGGUCCAGUUUCCUUAUCUAUAUAUUGAGACUAUUGGUCUGCUCUCCAAGGCAAUUUCCAGUUAUAAAGUUCUUUAUUGCUUCGACAUUGUCUUAGCUGUUUGGUACACACCUUUCCUAAUAGCUAGCAGAGGGUGAUGCACACCGUGGGAACUUCAUCAAUCCCCAGUGAUGAUCUGAGAGGUGUUAUGAUAGAACAGGUUAAAUGCCAGUGUCCUCUUCAGGUUUGACUGGGUCAGUGAUCUUGUCAAAGGGGCAUGAUGAAGUGCCCCAAGGAGGUUCCUAGAGUUUCCGAAAAUGGAUGCAAAGUAUGAAAUGUCAAUGCUUCUCCAGUGAUGCUGGAGCACUUCUGCCUCUCGGAUGUCAUUCUUAUUACUUUAUAAUUACCUUCUGACCUUUACUGACUCUGACAGUUGUGAGUCUUUAAAAAAAGGAUUCAAGAAUAUUAUCAUUAAUGCAGUUGCCUAGAAACAGGGCCUAAAAUACAUCUGGCUUUAAUAGAAGAGCUAAAAUGAGUUUUCAUUUUUUGGCAUUGUCUCUCUUUCUCCUUUCUCUUUUCUCUCCUCCCUCCCCCAACUUUUUCUUUGUAUUAACCAAGAAUUGCAAUAGAAUUUUUCACUAAUCCUUUCUGAACUGUCCAGAGCCAAGGUACCCAAAAUAGAGAGCAUUUUUCCAUCAUAGGAAGCUUUAGCAACACUAACUGGGCAUUAUGAAAUCUAAUCCCUAGCCCACUUACACAGCAGGUAUAGAAUCUGUAUUGUCAAAUCACUCAUCGCGCUCUCUGUAAGGAAGCUUUGCCAGUACUCAUAAAGAUGCUAGAAGAAGGAGAUUCUAUUGAGAUUCUAUUUAUCUCUUCAUCAAGGCAUGUUCUAGAACACUAUGCCAAAUGGCUACAACUGUGAUUUUCUGACCCAUAAACAUUUCCGUUCACCACUUUAAUGUCUCCUCCCAGAUGUACCCUCUUGCUUUCCUCUGUCCUUUUUAUCAUUGCAAUGUUCAGUCAGUCUGUAGCUAGCGCACCUUGCAAACACAGCCCUUAUCAUCUGAUAAAAAGAAAAGAGAAAACAGUAAAAAAGAGCAAUAGAAUAUAUUCCAUUUUUUUCUAUGUCUGUUAUUAGAUUUCUGCUUGUGGAAAUACACUGAUUUGCAAAAAUGCUUCUGGUGGCAAAGGUUACAUCAGCCUUACUAGGUCAAGAGGCCUAGAAGUCUGCUGGCCAGGUCAGCACAGCACCCUCUACUCACCAUGCAGGUGCUUAUGGAGGUUUAGGGAAGUGGAGUUCUGUAAGGGGAGGGGGCCUCCAGGGAUCAAGGCACUCACCGUUCAGAACUGCUCCAGAAUUAAUUUCCAUGGCCGGCAUCACUCCCAGGCUGUUUCCAAACUUGCCUGAUCAUAAGAACCAUCUGAGGGCUUGUUAAAAGUACUGAUUCAAAGCCUCUUUUCUGAAGAUUCUGAUUCUGUAGAUCUGGUAUAGAACUUGGGGAACAGCUUUUAACAAGUACCCUGGUGGUUCAUGUCAGGCAAGUUUAGGAAACAGACCAACAGUAGAGUCCAGGCACCUUUCAACUGCAGACAGGGCUUUCUGUGGUCUUGCUGCAGAUUCCACUGUUAGCUCCAGACACACACUGGUUUGUGCUGCCCUGUCACACAACUCCAGGCCUUGACUCCUUGCUAUGCACACUGCCUAGUGGCUGUCUGCCGUCUUCAACAGUCUUCCCCACGUCUUAGGACAGUGCAGGCAUUGUUUCCUUGUGUUUCUGGAACACCUGCUCUUGCUUCUAACAAAAGAACAGCACUUAAGUUUAUUACAAUUAUUGGUUUACCUUCUGUGAUCCCAUUUUCUGCUUUAUACUUUUCAUAGGAUGUUUACCCCAUACUCCUCAAUUUGAAUGAAAGCGCUGGGAAGGGGGACUCUGCCUGGACUAAGCUGUGUCCCAGGCUUCUACAAGAGGCCCUGGCCUACAGUAGGUGCUCAGUAGAUAUUUGUGAAUUAAAUUCUGUCUGUGGCACUAGACUGCGAGCCAGUCUUUAAUCUCUGCAAUCCUAGCACCUUGCUCAGUGUCUGUCACUCUAAUGAUAGUUGGAUGAAUCACUGAGAUAUUUGACUUCAUAACCAGGUUUCGGUCCACUCAGCGCUCUUAGUGAGGAAGAAUUAGGCAAAUACAACCCUGAAAGGGAAAAAAGGAGCCAAAUGGGGGAACAGCAUGGAAACCUGGAAAAGAGCAGAGGAAACAGACACAUAGAGACUGGACAAUGGUGGGGACCAGGGGAAGUUGUCUUAGUCCUGAUGGUAAGAAAGGUAUCAAGAAGGGGAUAAUUGUUGAUUGUUUCUAAACAACUCAAUUCUUGUUGGUAGUUUCCAAAGACAGCCCAGAGAUCACCCAGGGCCAUCUCCACAACCUGCCCUCCCCUUGAAAUGGCUCUGCACACAGUCUAACCCAGAGAGAGCAUUAACCCAGUACCAUGGUUAGGAGGGCGGAUUCUAGAGUCAGAGGACCAGGUCUCCAAUCCUAGUCCCACGCCUGACUGACUUUUUCCUGGGGCAAAACGUUCAAAUCCCCUACUACCCCAGCCUCCUCAUCUGUAAAAGGCUGUAUGUACUAAUGGUACCUGAUCCUAGGGCUGUUGUGAUAAAUAUGGUAAUCCACACAAGGUGCUUAACACUGUGGCUGGCACCUAGUAAGUGAUUAGUUGUGGCCUGUGUGGCACGCACUCUGCUGGGAACUGGGUAUGUAUGAAAUAGCUAAGGGGCCAAGUGCAUAGACUUCGGAAUGAGAUACAUAUGGCCUGGAUUGGGAGCUCAGGGAAGUACUUAGCCUCUCUGAAUCUCACAUCAUCGAGUGUAAAGUGAGGAUAAUAGCAACUGUUUACUGAGGCACAUCCAUUUGCCUGUGAUCCACACAACCAUCCUAUAAGGAUAUUACCUCAUGUACUCAUCACACAGUUUCAGUAAGUGUCAACUAGCGAUCACUUUAUAACCUCUACCUACCCCUCACCCUUGCCUAUCCCCAGUACCCUGGUUAUUUUCACACAAACCCCAGAUAGAACAUCACUUCAUCUGUCAAUAUACCUUAUAAUGUUUGUUGGCUUCACCAUGUCUGGAAUUCUAAGUAAACAAACUUGGUUCUGGACGAGGCACACAGUUGAACACCGUGCCUGUGGUCCAAUGUCAGAACAACCGUUCUCAUUCCACGGAUGAGCUGAUCCCCUUCAGGCUAUAGGGGGCGCUGGAGCUAGAGAAGGAAUGACAGCCAGGCAUCCUGCUGAGAAGGCGGCCUGAGAGCGGUGCAGGGAGUGAUCUCUGCGGCCUUGGCCUCCUGCGGAGAAACCUGGAAAAAGGAUGCCUGGUACGACUGUUUGAGGCCACCGCCCAGCCAGGCUUUCCCAGUGGAAACCUGUAUCCAGACCUAAAACUGUACACACAGUGCACGCUACAAGGGCUUGGGAGAAAGUAGGGUACUCUUCAGGGGACUGCCUGGAGGCACCGAGGACUCCUUGGAACUGGUCUCUUUUAAGUAGCACCAAUGAGCUUUAGCUGCCGCACGGGCAAAAUGGCAAAAAGAAAAGCCCAUUUUGACAAAAUUGUUCCUUGGUCCUGUCACAUCAGGCUGUCAUUUUGGCUAACUUGUCUUUUGUUCUUUGCACCUCAAAUCUGAAAAAAUUCUAAAAUGCCUGAGCUCUAUGGUGAGCAGAAAACUGUCCUGAGUAUUUCUUCUCCUUUUCAACGUGCAUGUCUCUGCCAUUUUGAGUCUAUUGUGCUGUUUAAAAGUCUCUUCCUUCUCCGAGCUCACUUUGCUAUGUAAGCAGUUAGCUCCAAAUAGAUGGGUUCAGCACCACUCCAAAAAAAGAGCAAUCCUUGUCUAAGAGGAAAUAUGGUUAAGUUGCAGCUUCCUAAUUCUUCUUGUAGAUAAUAUCUGUUCCUCUUGAGGAAGACUCUAGCCCUGAUGCAAUCAUCUGAUGCAUUCUUUGUGAUUGCUGCAAGGCAAAACUAAGGUAAGCUUGGAGCCAGAGAGAGCGCUUUAUCUAUUUAUCUAUUGAUGGUGGUGCUGGUGGGGAAGGUAGAGCUGCCAGUAUUCCUAUUACAGUAUGAUUUCCAAGGGAGACAGUAUUAUGUAACCAGUGAAUCAUGAAAACCACCUCCAGUCUUCCAGCUGAGGAGGGCUUCUCCCUCCUCCAUGAUAACAAGCUGCAGAUUGGCAGUAACAAGAGGCAAGUACUUACUUCACUGCUUUCUCCUGUUGCAGAAGUUUUGAUGUCACCUCUUGGCAUGAAUGGGAACCUAGUAUACCUCUGGAAGUGAAGCCUGCUUAGCUGGGUUCCACCCAAGGGAAGGCAGAAGUUUCUAUUCCUCCAGGCUGCAAUCCAAAGUAUAGUAAACAACAACUCACCGAUGAAGAUGUUGAACAGGUUAAAGCCAGGCAGGAGGACUGUCAGCGAACAACAGCACCUUAGUCCUCAAGGAAGUUAUUCUUCACAGGGCUGUGGGCAAGAAGAAUGCUUUUGCAGACAACCAGAGUCAUUCCUAGAAGCAAGGACUAUGACAGCAAGCUAAGAUAGUUCUCGUUUGCUGGUUGUAGUGGAUACACUAAUUUCAUUCCUUUGUCGAGGUAGAGUCCAAGUCCCAGCUGGAGGAUGCAUUUUGUUAUCCUGUUGCUCAAUUCCUAAUGGACAUAAGAAAGAUGAGAUUUACAUUUGAAUUGGUAGACUUUGAGUACAGCAUAUUGUCUUCCAUAAUGUGGGUGGGCCUCAUUUCAUCAGUUGAAGGCCUGACUAGGAAGAAAAGACUGACUUCCUCCAACCAAGAGGCAGUUUUUCAGCAGGAAGCCCUUGGGCUUGAAUUGCAACAGCAGCUCUUCACUUGAUCUCUUACCUGACAGCACACUUUGGAGAUCUUGGACUUGCCACCCUCCAUAAUUGUGUGAGUCAAUCCCUUAAAUCUCUUUCUACAUAUAUACACAUCCUAUCGAUUCUGUUUCUCUGGAGAGUCCUGAGUAAUAGCACAUUCUCUGACUAGAAUAUUUCUAAAGUUUUUGAUAGAUAUUUUCAAAUUGCUUCUCAAAAGGCUUAACAGUGAAUAUUACCACCAGCAAUGUAUGAGAGAACAUGAAUUGACAAUUCACAAAGAGAAGAAACACAGUGUAUGGGUGUCUGUGUCACCCACGACAUUCAACAUUCAUCUUUUUAAAAUUCUACUUAUAUACUAUAUAGGAAAGGCAAUUUCACUUGAAUUCGCAUUUCUUUUUCUAACUACAGAAGUUCAGCAUUUUUCUAAAUUUUUUAACAGUCACUUUUUUCCUAUUUUUUCUUUUUUAAGGAUUGAGUAUAUUACAAUUAGGUUUCUGGAAUUUAUUCUGGUGUAUGGUACAUGUUGAGGAUCUGGUUCGAUUUCUUUCAAAAUGACUAACAUACUGGCCUGAUGGUUUUUAUUGUCUAAUCCACCGGGCUUUGGUUUUAUCAUCUACGAGAUGAGAGGGUUGGGCUAGAAGUGCUUCUCAACCCUUACUGUAUGUUACAAUCACCUGGGGACGCUUUUUGAAAAAAACAUAAUUGCUUGGCUUUUCUCCAGAGUUUUUGUUUCAGUUGGUCUAUGGUGGGAUCUGCGAAUUAUUUUUGUUCUUUUUUGGUCCUUUAGAUUUUAAUGUGGACCCAGGUUUGAGGAAGCCUGCGCUGCAUGACCAUCGAGGUCACUCCACCUCUAAAACUCAGAUUUGAGGCAUUGUUCUAGAUGCUGGAAAUAUAACAGUGAGCAAAAUAUAAAAAUCCUUGUUCUCAUGGAACUGACCUUCUGUUGGGAAGAAUAAUACUGCCUACCUCACAAGGUGGUGUAAUCCAUGGAAAAGAAAGCAUGUUUACACUAUGGAGUAAAAAGAUAAGUGGUUAUGACUGUUAUUAUUUUACACCUCCAACAAUUGUGUGGUCAGAAGACACUAAACUAUCCCCUGUACCUCCUCAUAGCAACCCCCAUGGCCUUGCUUUGGACCUUAUAUGACUGAUUCCUUUGAGCUAAAGCAUUUUAUCUAAGAACACUAACACAAUUUAUUAUAAUUCCUGGUUUACAAAGUGACCCAGUCACCUAACAGGGCCCUGAAGGAACAAGGUACUGCUCAAGUUUUGUACUGAUGUUGUAAAAAGGGUCAGAAAAGGCAAGAACAUGGAAAUUACCAAUGAGGACCAAGGUGAGAAGUGAGGCAACACCAGUGUCCUGUGCUGGGAACUGAUUGGAGAGCAGAAAAGAAGACAGGCAUCUUUAUCCUAAAAACUAAAAACCUCCACUGGAGUCUCCAGUCAGCUUGCAAGCUUGACAGAGGUGGGAAACAAGACAGAAUCAGAAAUAUUGCUCCAUUUCCAGCACCAACCACAGUGCCUAGCCCAGAGCAAUAUUUGAGGCAUUUAAUAGCCUCUACUCCAGAUAUUAUAGUUCAGAUUUAGCAGAAAUCUUCAUGGGUUGUUUAUGUGGGGAGAUCUUCAUGGAGAAGGUGGGGCUGACCUAGGCUUCAAGGGUGGUGGGAAUUGGGAGGAUGAAGCUUCCCUAGGAGGGACUGAUGAAAAAUCUUUGAGCAGGUAGGUCAGGGAGUGGCAUCAGUGGUGCAGUGGAGUGUAUGUGCAGUCCUUAAGUCUUGGAGAUUUGGUGAGGAGGUGGGGCAGGGACAGGCUGAAUGUCAUGAAUAGCAGAAGCAUCAUGGGCAGAGUCUCUGAGAGCAGGUUUGGGACCAGUGGAAGUAGAGCCAAUUAGGGGGAGUAUUGUGACACAAAAUUUUUAUUAUUAUGCAACAUUGCUGGCCUGGGCUCACUCUUGUCAGUCUUGGUGAAAUUUCCUGAAUCAGAGUGUUCUGCCUCCCACAUACAGCCUGAAGUCUGGAGGGACUUCCUCAUUUUGCAAAGGGAUAAUAAACUCUUUACAGAGUUUGGCUUUAAACUCUUAGCUUGGGUGUAUUUUCUUUUUUCGGUUCAAUUAGCUAAAUCUACCUAGUAUAAGAGCAAGAAAUUAUAGUAAACUAUUGUAGUAAACUCAGGAUCAUUCAAACAAGGGCUUGGCAUGAGAUUCUGGGAACUUGCUUGGAGCAACAGGAAGAGACAGGGCUUGCAUUCGGAUAUGUAAGCAUAGACUUGGCAGGAAUAUCUGAAUUUAUCAGGGCUCCACAAUUUCAGCAGCACCUCAGUUUUCCUAAGCAGAUAAGAUUGGGAGGGCCCAAGUAAAAAUACAGAUUGGAGCAGGAGCUUCAAUGGGUAUUGAAUCAACUCCACCUUUUACUUCCCAACAGCAGGUGUUGGGUGGGGCUAACCAGGGGUGAGCCUUGAUUGACCCAAGACAAUUGGUUUCAUCUCCUCUUCUUAGCCACAUAGAUUAGCUCAUGAGUGAGCAGGUGAUUCAAACAAAGUAAAGCCCAGGACUUUGUUUCAGUGGUUGGGGGAUAGCGUGGGUGUGAGUAUUAGUCUGGACACUGCUGCAGUUAUUUUACUCUAAUGACAGGCGCCAUCCAAAGGUGAGGCCGCUGCUAGAAGAGGGCAGAUUCAAAAGACUUGAGAAAAAAUGGAGUCAGAACCUGAUCAAACCACAGGUAAAGUCUACCCUACCUUUGGUAUUUACAGUUGUAUGAGCCAAUAAUUUUUAUCCAUUGUUUAAACUAAUUUAUCUUGCUUCUUCUCUUGCUUAUCUGGGAGUUUCCCUUAUAUUAAACAAACACUUAUAGUAGUUUAGGGUGUAAAAUUCCAAGCUCCCUUUAUUCUCUGUUUUUGUUUUUGCUUUUUUGCUGAGACAGGGUCUCACUCUGUCAUCCAGGCUGGAGUGCAGUGGCUCAAUCACAACUCACUGCAGCCUCAACUUUCCCGACUCAAACGAACUUCCCCACUCAGCCUUCCAAGUAGCUGGGACUACAGGCACACACCACCACACUGGCUAAUUCUAUUUUUGUAGAG